rnacentral:rRNA from 1 species
CCUACGGGAGGCAGCAGUGGGGAAUAUUGGACAAUGGGCGAAAGCCUGAUCCAGCCAUGCCGCGUGUGUGAAGAAGGCCUUCGGGUUGUAAAGCACUUUCAGUGGGGAAGAAAGCCUUGGGGCUAAUACCCUCGAGGAAGGACAUCACCCACAGAAGAAGCACCGGCUAACUCCGUGCCAGCAGCCGCGGUAAUACGGAGGGUGCGAGCGUUAAUCGGAAUUACUGGGCGUAAAGCGCGCGUAGGCGGUCUGAUAAGCCGGUUGUGAAAGCCCCGGGCUCAACCUGGGAACGGCAUCCGGAACUGUCAGGCUAGAGUGAAGGAGAGGAAGGUAGAAUUCCCGGUGUAGCGGUGAAAUGCGUAGAGAUCGGGAGGAAUACCAGUGGCGAAGGCGGCCUUCUGGACUGACACUGACGCUGAGGUGCGAAAGCGUGGGUAGCAAACAGGAUUAGAUACCCCUGUAGUC